AGAAGAGCAAACAUAGCUUCAGGAGAAAUAUCGCCAAAUACUUGUGUUUUUCUGCUGUUGUCAAAAGCUUCAGUAAAACAUAAAUCUUUAUUAAAAUACUUCUAUUAUUCAGAGACAGCUGGACUAAUUCUGAACUCAGGAUCUUUAAACCUGAAACGAUGAGCCAUUCAGACAGUGGCAAUGUGGGGGAAGAUGAAGUUUUUGAACCUCAACAUGAACAAGUAAACAGAGGGUCAAAGGUCACCACAAAAAUAGGGGUGGUGGUGGUUGUCUGUGUUCUCCUGGCAACUGCUGUCUUUUUGACGUUCUACUUCUGGUGAUUUACUGGAACAACAAAGAACCAGACAACUGGUUCCUCAUACCAGCAACUGGUAUGAGGAAAAUCCUGAUGGAGAAGUCUGUGACAGGACGGAGGUAAA